rnacentral:rRNA from 1 species
GACGAACGCUGGCGGCGUGCUUAACACAUGCAAGUCGAACGGUAAGGCCCUUCGGGGUACACGAGUGGCGAACGGGUGAGUAACACGUGGGUGAUCUGCCCUGCACUUCGGGAUAAGCCUGGGAAACUGGGUCUAAUACCGGAUAGGACCCUGGGAUGCAUGUCCUGGGGUGGAAAGCUUUUGCGGUGUGGGAUGGGCCCGCGGCCUAUCAGCUUGUGGGUGGGGUGAUUGCCUACCAAGGCGACGACGGGUAGCCGGCCUGGGAGGGUGACCGGCCACACUGGGACUGAGAUACGGCCCCGACUCCUACGGGAGGCAGCAGUGGGGAAUAUUGCACAAUGGGCGCAAGCCUGAUGCAGCGACGCCGCGUGAGGGAUGACGGCCUUCGGGUUGUAAACCUCUUUCAGCACCGACGAAGCGCAAGUGACGGUAGGUGCAGAAGAAGGACCGGCCAACUACGUGCCAGCCGCCGCAGUAA